GUGACUGCGUACCUUUUGUAUAAUGGGUCAGCGACUUAUAUUCUGUAGCAAGGUUAACCGUAUAGGGGAGCCGAAGGGAAACCGAGUCUUAACUGGGCGUUAAGUUGCAGGGUAUAGACCCGAAACCCGGUGAUCUAGCCAUGGGCAGGUUGAAGGUUGGGUAACACUAACUGGAGGACCGAACCGACUAAUGUUGAAAAAUUAGCGGAUGACCUGUGGCUGGGGGUGAAAGGCCAAUCAAACCGGGAGAUAGCUGGUUCUCCCCGAAAGCUAUUUAGGUAGCGCCUCGUGAA
rnacentral:rRNA from 1 species